rnacentral:rRNA from 1 species
UACGGGGGGGGCAAGCGUUGUUCGGAAUCAUUGGGCGUAAAGGGCGCGUAGGCGGCCUUCUAAGUCGAACGUGAAAUCCCCGGGCUCAACCCGGGAACUGCGUCCGAUACUGGAAGGCUUGAAUCCGGGAGAGGGAUGCGGAAUUCCAGGUGUAGCGGUGAAAUGCGUAGAUAUCUGGAGGAACACCGGUGGCGAAGGCGGCAUCCUGGACCGGCAUUGACGCUGAGACGCGAAAGCGUGGGGAGCAAACAGG